rnacentral:rRNA from 1 species
CAGCCGCCACGGUAAUACAGAGGGUGCGAGCGUUAAUCGGAUUUACUGGGCGUAAAGCGUGCGUAGGCGGCUUUUUAAGUCGGAUGUGAAAUCCCUGAGCUUAACUUAGGAAUUGCAUUCGAUACUGGGAAGCUAGAGUAUGGGAGAGGAUGGUAGAAUUCCAGGUGUAGCGGUGAAAUGCGUAGAGAUCUGGAGGAAUACCGAUGGCGAAGGCAGCCAUCUGGCCUAAUACUGACGCUGAGGUACGAAAGCAUGGGGAGCAAACAGGAUUAGAUACCCGCGUAGUCCCUGUCUCUUAUAC